CACGGUCAUUACUUAAUAUUUUGCUGAUAGUAUAUAAAGGAAAAAGGGUGGUCAUGUGAGUAACGCUCUGCUGUAUAGAAAGUCACUAUUAUUUAUGUGUUAUAUUUGAAAUUUGAAUCCAUUCAUAUAUAGCCAUAUAAGUAUCAUUGUAUACGAAAAACGUUUCUGAACAGACAGAGAUGCUUUGUCAGUCUAGGAUAUAAUAUAUAAAAUAGGAAGAUAUGCGUUCCAUUUUAAUAAUUAUCUCCAAAGAUUCAAAGAAUACAAUGAAAAAAAGGACUAUUAUGAAGUUGUUUCACCUUAUGAAAGUAAUAUGUCCAUUCAUUAUGGUUAUCUAAGAAAUUGGUGCAGUGUUCAAGGUAAAAGCAUUAUUAAAGCAUUUUGUUUACGUAUAUUUUGCUAAGUACUGUUUUC